UUACUAUGAUAGUUGUGUAUUAUUGGAGUGCUAAUGAUAUUUCAAAAUGUUUUAUACAACACAUACAGUAUGGAUAUAAAAGUUCUUUAUGUUAAGUAUUCAAAUACUUUUAUGAACCAAUGUAGUAGUGAGAAACUUAAUUUCUACUGUAAUGUUCUUUCAAUUUUAAGAUUUUAUCACCUCUUCUUUAAGCCUCUGAAUUGCUGUUAAUAACCAGUAGGCAGCAGCGGGUUUCUUUUAAUGAAGUUUAACUUCAAACACAAAAGUUACCGUGGCGAUUGAUAACAUCGAAAGCGUUUUAAGUCUUAAAAGGAUCCAGACUGCGAGAGAAUUUAAAUCCUUGACGGAGGCAAAGUGUUUCAAAGGUCGUGAACGGCUUGAAAAAUUGUGAAUUAUUGCUACACCUCACGAAGUAGUACUUUGAUACUUUUUUAUGCUUUAAUACGAGAUCCGAGCAAUUUCAGUUUACCUCUGCCCAGUUGCUUUCAAAUGUCUACACACCUUGCAACUUGUCAAUAUGUCCUUCUUUUGUUAUAUAAAAUUUUCAACCUUCAGAGUCUACCCUUUAUGAAAAUAUAAAAGUAACUUCAACCCUUGAACUUAGCUUUCGUUUAACAUGUUUACACGUUAGCCACGCCAGACUAAUUAUACUACGUAUAAUUUAAAUAUAAAAAAAUGUACAGAGAAUGUACAAUACACAUAAUAUACAAAAAUAUCCAAAGUACACAUUACAAUGUUUGAAAUAUGAAACAAAUCUCUGUUCAUUCUACUGAAUGAUUACUAUCUACUAAUGGUUACUAUCAUACAAACGUGAAUUUGUAUCAGAAUCUGCAGCCUAGUAAUUAUUAAAGACGCAUUGACCGAACAAAUCUUAAAAUAAAGCUAUAAAUUGAAAAUAAACUAGGUACGUAUCCGAACAAAAAUUUUCUUUCAUCUUAACCAUCUAAUAUUUUUUGGGAAUUCUAUGGCCAUCGCGAUCGAAAUGUCCAUUGAAUUUGUGCAAUUUUUAUGCUCUCAUAUUUUGGAAACUUCAAACUUAUAGAAAACGAGCAGGUCGUUCGUGUGCCAAUCACCGGAACAACAUCAAUGUGGAUAAAAGUUUCCAUCGAGGCGACAGACGUCUGGCGUCCUUUUCUUGUUAACAGGCACAGAACACAAACGUUCUGAGUUUAUACGCAUACCAAUGCACCGUUCAAGACACAUAUAAAAGGCGUAUAAAUCGACACAGACAUUCGCAAAGAGAACGAACUUUUCCAGAACUACUGGGGAUAUCGAAAUGUGACAAAGGGAAGAAAGUUGAUCAACAGUGCAGUUGACAUUAUGCUGUCGUCCUUAUAACUCGUGACUCAACAGUUGUGAAGAUGUUUCUGGUCAAGGUUUUGUACGCCUCGGUCAAGUGAAAAACGUUCAGGACAAAUAGAUUGAGGCAGAGUUAACGAAAUGGAGUAUUUUCAUUCCAUACUAAAUUACACACAUUAUGUUGUUGAAAUUGUUUGAAAUAUUGAAUCCAGAAUUGAAAAUAUGUAUCAAGCCCCCAAGAAGUAAAAUGUAAAAAUAUGUAUCUAUUACAUAUAACGCUUUGAAAUUAGAUUAAAAAAUUUUAAACUCGCAUUUAUUAUCUAAGAAUGUAUGAGAAAUUUUUUAUAUAAUGCCACGAAUAUAAACUGCAUCGAUCCAACAUAUUUUUAUCGUGAAUAUUUAUAAUCAUAAAUUCUCGCAAAUUUGUAUAAAAGUUGUAAUAUUUUAAUUUUUCGAAUAAAUUUUCGAACAUUUCUGUGCGAGGAUAAUUUGUUGAACAUGUUAUCGAAAUAAAAAGAAUAAUAUAUAAAUUUAGAAGUGAUAUAUUUCUAUAAAAAUAGCUAUAAGAAUAAUUCA